rnacentral:rRNA from 1 species
CCUUACCGGAUGGCUUACCAUGCAGUCGAACGGUCUUUUCGGAGAUAGUGGCGGACGGGUGAGUAACGCGUGAGAAUCUAGCUUUAGGUUCGGGACAACCAUUGGAAACGGUGGCUAAUACCGGAUGUGCCGAAAGGUAAAAGGCUUGCUGCCUAGAGAUGAGCUCGCGUCUGAUUAGCUAGUUGGUAGUGUAAGGGACUACCAAGGCGACGAUCAGUAGCUGGUCUGAGAGGAUGAUCAGCCACACUGGGACUGAGACACGGCCCAGACUCCUACGGGAGGCAGCAGUGGGGAAUUUUCCGCAAUGGGCGAAAGCCUGACGGAGCAAUACCGCGUGAGGGAGGAAGGCUCUUGGGUUGUAAACCUCUUUUCUCAAGGAAUAAGUUCUGAAGGUACUUGAGGAAUAAGCAUCGGCUAACUCCGUGCCAGCAGCCGCGGUAAUACGGAGGAUGCAAGCGUUAUCCGGAAUGAUUGGGCGUAAAGCGUCCGCAGGUGGUGAUGAAAGUCUGCUGUCAAAGAAUCAGGCUUAACCUGAUAGAGGCAGUGGAAACUACAUGACUAGAGUGCGUUCGGGGCAGAAGGAAUUCCUGGUGUAGCGGUGAAAGGCGGUAAAAAAAUAACGUUAACCAAUAACU